rnacentral:tRNA from 1 species
UGGGGUAGUCUGGAUAUCCCGUCGGGCUCAUAACCCGGAGAUCGAUGGUUCAAAUCCAUC